CAGGCAUGGUGGCGCAUGCCUGCAAUCCCAGCUACUCGGGAGGCUGAGGCAGGAGAAUUGCUUGAACCUGGGAGGCGGAGGUUGCGGUGAGCCGGAAUUGCGCCAUUGCACUCCAGCCUCGGCAACAAAAGCAAAACUCCGUCUCAAAAAAAAAAAAAAAAAAAAAAAAGCCGGGCGCGGUAGCUCAGCUCAAGCCUGUAAUCCCAGCACUUUGGGAGGCCGAGGCGGGCAGAUCACGUGGUCAGGAGAUCAAGACCAUCCUGGCUAACACGGUGAAACCCCCGUCUCUACUAAAAAUACAAAAAAAUUAGCCGGGCGUGGUGGCUGGCGCCUGUAGUCCCAGCUACUCGGGAGGCUGAGGCAGGAGAAUGGCGUGAACCCGGGAGGAGGAGCUUGCAGUGAGCCAAGAUCGCGCCACUGCAGUCCAGCCCGGGCGACAGAGCGAGACUCCGUCUCAAAAAAAAAAAAAAAAAAAGAAUAAAUGGAAGUCAACAAAAACAGGUACAAGAAAUUUCAGUGAAGAAAAAAGGAAUUUUAAAUAAAUUAACAAAAGAAAACUAAUAGAAUAUAUGCUGUAAAGUGUUACACAGUCAUUAAAAUGCAGCUAUAUACUGGCUUUGAAUAUAUUGGCAGCCAAUAAAGAUAAAUUAACCAGUUGAGAUUCAUACAGUCCAAGUUUACCAGAUGCUUAGGAGACGCAAAGCUUUGCCUAGCAUUCUGUCAAGAAAGGUUUUGCUGUCUGUGUGACUAAUCUUACAUGAAUGUUUUCCCAGAAUUGAGUUUUCCAAAGAAAUAUGGGAACAAGGGGCUGGAGUUGUGGGUAUUCUGUUUUGUCAUUCAAAGGCAGAUCUUUCUACAUUACAAAUCAAAGUACAACUGACAACCUCUCGAAAUUGAAGAACCUAAGCACUAGCCCACAACCUCACAUCUGCCUAGAGGAACAACUGGGUAGAAAAGACCAACCAACCAAUCUUUUGCCCUUCAGUCAGCCCUUCUGCCUAUUUUGGGCUUAAAUUUCUAUAAACACUUAGUUCUGCCCUUUCAAAUUGAAGGGUUAUUCUCUUUGGUGAAAAAAUUAGGAGUGGGUUGUUACGACAUGAAAUACAGAGGGCCCUUCCCUUUUUUGUUUUGAAACUUAGCCAUUAUUAUUGUGUGACUUACAAUAUGUAUUUUAAAAUUUAUAUUAUUUUACAGAUCUCACAAAUCUAUGAGGUUGAGAGGGCAGAUAUACUCUAUGGAUGAGAAAACUUAGGCUCUACUCGUUCAGGGUCACACUGGUGACAGCUAAGUCUUUUCAGUUACAGCCUGUGCCCUUUGACAUGUUGCUUUUUUCCUCUCCCCUUAUUGUACAUGCCCUAGUUCCAGGCCUUUGCCAUUCUGGUGUUUGACCAUGGCUCACAAAUCUCUUGCUAAUAUCUAUCCACUCCAGGUAAAAAGUCUGCCUGUCCUAUAUUUUUAUACAUGUCAUUUUAAAGAAAGAGUUGAUUAGAGCUCCUUAUGCAUGCACAUUCAUUUCUUGGAUGUCUUUCCUUUUUUAAAACUGAAAUCAUGUUUUAGUUUUCUCUCUUUUUAGAAUUUAAUUCUUGGGAAUCUUUCAAGUCUAACACACAUGAUAAAUAAUGCAUAUAUAUGUAACUAUAUGCAACAUUCCCUUCAUUAUAAAUCUUGACUGUUUUAAAAAAUGGUUUGAAUACAGAAUAUUUGCAUCAGUUUUUUCCUUUAAUUUGAAAUACUAGAGUAGCUGUUCUUAUUGCUUCCUUUAAAAACUACGAUUGAAGUACACAAACAGUAUCAAAUGUUCUACUUUGGGCAAAACUAGACUUUACUGUAUCAGAAAACUGGAAAUCCAGGCCGGGUGUGGUGGCUCACGCCUGUAAUUCCAGCUACUAGGGAGGCUGAGGCAGGAGAAUCACUUGAACCUGGGAGGCGGAGGUCGCAGUGAGCUGACAUCGCACCUCUGCACUCCAGCCCAGGCAACAGAGUGAGACUCCAUCUUAAAAAAAAAAAAAAAAAAAAAAACCCACUGGAAAUCCAUUAUAUUCCAGUAUUCAGCCACCAUAUCCUGCUUCUAGUCUAACACUGUAUGUAUGAUAGUUCAUGUGUAUUUGACUUACAUGUUUGACCAUUUGACCAUGUUUAACAAAUCUCUUGCUACACUGCAAUGUCUAUUCUCCCCGUUUGUGUUCACUCAAAGCCAAAGAAAUGGUGGUGGGGAAGAAGCAAGCACUUUGGAAUCCAGACAGACCUGAGUUUGAAUCCUGACUCAGCUACUAUUUAUUUGCUAUCACUUUGCUCAAAUUAUUUGACCUUUUGAGCCCCCGUCUAUAGUUUAGUUUUAAGAUCGUAUGUAAAGCUCUUGGAGUCAAAGGAACUCAAAUGUUAAUUUCAUCAUAUGUAUACACCAUAAUGCCUUAUUUAAAUAAACAAUCCAGUCAGUCGUUACUACCACCAUGUACUACGGUAUCUACUGAAAUGUGGCAUGAAGGAAACCAAAACUCAUGCCAUUCCUACUCCCUCUUCAAAUUUGCAAUUUACCUUCUGAGACUCUGACAAAACAGUGUAUGGGAAAAUAGAAAAAUAAAAACCAGAAACAAUAGUAUAUAGGGUAUAAUAGGAAAAGCAGAAUGAAAGGUACAUAUGGAUGGAAUAAGGGAUCUAUGCAAGGAACAUGCAACUUAGGGUGGGGCACAGUGGCUCAUGGCUGUAAUCCCAGCACUUUGGGAGGUGGAGGUAGGAGGAUCACUUGAACCCAGGAGUUUGGGACCAGCCUGGGCAAUGUGAUGAAACCCCAUCUCUACAAAAAAGUAAAAAAUUUUAGCUGGGCAUGGUUUCACGUGCCUGUGGUCCCAGCAGCUCGGGAGACUGAGGUGGGAGGAUCACUGGAGCCCGUGGGGUAGACUACAGUGAGCCAUGAUCACACCACUGCACUGCAGCCUGGGUGACAGAGCAAUACCGUAUCUCAAAAGAAAAGAAAAAAGCAACCUAUUAAGAUUUAUAUACUACUAAAAAA
rnacentral:lncRNA from 1 species